UGCCAGUGAUGAUGCAGUUUUUAUGAAAUCGUGGAUACAUCAGGCCUCCUUUGUAAUCUUGGUUUCAAAUGUUUUAAAUUUUGAAACUGUAAAGCCAAAGGUACAUCAACCUGACCAUCUUGGUAUGAGUCCCAUAUGGUCGAUUCUGCCGAUGGUGAAGUACCACCGCGACGGGUUUAAGUGGUGAAGAACAUACACAUUAAAUCAUCUUUUCGGUGGCACAGUCGUUGCAAUACACAUAUUUAAACAUGGUUGCAAUAGUUUGUAAGGCUUUGAUGUAUCUAACUGUGAUGUUUCUUUAGUAAUCUGAGGCGA